rnacentral:rRNA from 1 species
UGAAUACGAGACGCUAAGGCGUCGAAGUAGUGUAUGUCAUACUUCCAAGAAAAGCUUGCACUGUCAUAGAUAAAAAACGCCUGUACCAUAACCGACACAGGUGGGUAGGUAGAGUAUACUAAGGGGCGCGAGAUAACUCUCUCUAAGGAACUCGGCAAAAUAACUCCCUAACUUCGGGAGAAGGAGUGCCUUAUUCUUAAGGUUGCAAUAACAAGAUCCAAGCAACUGUUUAUCAAAACCACAGGUCUCCGCUAAGUCGUAAGACGAUGUAUGGGGGCUGACGCCUGCCCAGUGCCAGAAGGUUAAAGAAGCUGGUUAGCAUUUGCGAAGCUAGUAACUGAAGCCCUGGUGAACGGCGGCCGUAACAAUAACGGUCCUAAGGUAGCGAAAUUCCUUGUCGGGUAAGUUCCGACCCGCACGAAAGGCGUAAUGAUUUGGAUACUGUCUCGGAGAGGGGCUCGGUGAAAUAGACUUGUCUGUGAAGAUGCGGACUACCUGCACCAGGACAGAAAGACCCUAUGAAGCUUUACUGUAACUUGAAAUUGAAAUUGGACUUUAUUCGCGCAGUAUAGGUGGGAGGCGUUGAUUGUAAUCUUGCGGGAUUAUUGGAGCCAUUAGUGAGAUACCACUCUUGUAAUGUUAGAUUUCUAACUUUGAAUCAUUAUCUGGUCAAAGAACAGUUUCAGGCGGGCAGUUUGACUGGGGCGGUCGCCUCCUAAACGGUAACGGAGGCGUACAAAGGUUUCCUCUGAACGGUUAGAAAUCGUAUCUAGAGUGUAAAGGCAUAAGGAAGCUUGACUGUGAGACCUACAAGUCGAGCAGGGACGAAAGUCGGUCUUAGUGAUCUGACGGUACUGAGUGGAAAGGCCGUCACUCAACGGAUAAAAGUUACUCUAGGAUAACAGGCUGAUCUCCCCCAAGAGUUCACAUCGACGGGGAGGUUUGGCACCUCGAUGUCGGCUCAUCGCAUCCUGGGGCGGUAGUACGUCCCAAGGGAUGGGCUGUUCGCCCAUGAAAGCGGUACGCGAGCUGGGUUCAGAACGUCGUGAGACAGUUCGGUCCAUAUCCGGUGUAGGCGUUAGAAUAUUGAGAGGAGCCUUCUUUAGUACGAGAGGACCGAGAAGGGCAUACCUCUGGUGUACCAGUUAUCGUGCCAACGGUAAACGCUGGGUAGCUAUGUAUGGAGUGGAUAACCGCUGAAAGCAUCUAAGUGGGAAGCCCACCUCAAGAUAAGUAUUCUCAUCAGAAAAAAA